GACGAACGCUGGCGGCGUGCUUAACACAUGCAAGUCGAACGGAAAGGCCCUGCUUUUGUGGGGUGCUCGAGUGGCGAACGGGUGAGUAACACGUGAGUAACCUGCCCUUGACUUUGGGAUAACUUCAGGAAACUGGGGCUAAUACCGGAUAGGAGCUCCUGCUGCAUGGUGGGGGUUGGAAAGUUUCGGCGGUUGGGGAUGGACUCGCGGCUUAUCAGCUUGUUGGUGGGGUAGUGGCUUACCAAGGCUUUGACGGGUAGCCGGCCUGAGAGGGUGACCGGCCACAUUGGGCCUGAGAUACGGCCCAGACUCCUACGGGAGGCAGCAGUGGGGAAUAUUGCACAAUGGGCGGAAGCCUGAUACAGCAACGCCGCGUGCGGGAUGACGGCCUUCGGGUUGUAAACCGCUUUCGCCUGUGACGAAGCGUGAGUGACGGUAAUGGGUAAAGAAGCACCGGCUAACUACGUG
rnacentral:rRNA from 1 species